AUGCCUAAUACAUGCAAGUCGAACGCGUCUAGCAAUAGGCGAGUGGCGGACGGGUGAGUAACGCGUGGGAACCUGCCCUUGAGUGCGGGAUAACCGAGGGAACUUCGGCUAAUACCGCAUGCGCCCCGAGCAAUCGGGGGAAAGAUUUAUCGCUCGAGGAGGGGCCCGCGUCGGAUUAGCUAGUUGGUGGGGUAACGGCCUACCAAGGCGAUGAUCCGUAGCUGGUCUGAGAGGAUGAUCAGCCACACUGGGACUGAGACACGGCCCAGA
rnacentral:rRNA from 1 species